rnacentral:rRNA from 1 species
GUGCCAGCCGCCGCGGUAAUACGUAGGUGGCGAGCGUUAUCCGGAAUUACUGGGCGUAAAGCGCACGUAGGCGGCUGGCUAAGUCUGACGUGAAAGCUCCUGGCUUAACUGGGAGAGGACGUUGGAGACUGGCCGGCUUGAGGCGAUGAGAGGGACGUAGAAUUCCCGGUGUAGUGGUGGAAUGCGUAGAUAUCGGGGGGAAUACCAGUGGCGAAAGCGGCGUCCUAGCAUCGGCCUGACGUUCAUGUGCGAAAGCGUGGGGAGCGAACGGGAUUAGAUACCCCGGUAGUCCACGCGGUAAACGAUGAACACUAGGUGUGGGGAGUGUUAAAACUGUCCGUGCCGAAGCCAACGCGUUAAGUGUUCCGCCUGGGGAGUACGGCCGCAAGGCUAAA